rnacentral:rRNA from 1 species
GAUGAACGCUGGCGGCGUGCCUAAUACAUGCAAGUCGAGCGAACAGACGAGGAGCUUGCUCCUUUGCCGUUAGCGGCGGACGGGUGAGUAACACAUGGAUAACCUACCUCUAUGACUGGGAUGACAUCGGAGAACCAGAGAUACUACUGGCUCAUAUAUUCUACCGCAUGAUUCAAUAGAGCAUCGCGGUUUUGCUGUCACAAUUAGAUGGUUCCGCGCCGCAUUAGCUAGUUGGUAAGGUAACGGCUUACCAAGGCAACGAUGCGUAGCCGACCUGAGAGGGUGAUCGGCCACACUGGAACUGAGACACGGUCCAGACUCCUACGGGAGGCAGCAGUAGGGAAUAUUCCGCAAUGGGCGAAAGCCUGACGGAGCAACGCCGCGUGAGUGAAGAAGGUCUUCGGGUCGUAAAACUCUGUUGUUGGGAAAGAAAAGAUGUGGAAGUAACCAUCGAUGUUCUGACGGUACCUAAUGAGUAAGCAACGGCUAACUACGUG